rnacentral:tRNA from 1 species
UGAAAUAACUUAAUUAAAGCUUCUAACUUUAUGUUCUAAUAUUUAAAAAAUAUUAUUAUUUC